rnacentral:rRNA from 1 species
GAUGAACGCUAGCGGGAGGCUUAACACAUGCAAGUCGAGGGGCAGCAUAGGGUAGCAAUACUCUGAUGGCGACCGGCAAACGGGUGAGUAACGCGUAUGCAACCUACCCUGUACAGGGGGAUAACCCGGAGAAAUUCGGACUAAUAUCCCGUAAUAAUAUCCGGAGGCAUCUUUGGAUAUUUAAAGUUUCGACGGUACGGGAUGGGCAUGCGUAACAUUAGCUGGUUGGUAAGGUAACGGCUUACCAAGGCUAUGAUGUUUAGGGGUCCUGAGAGGGUGGUCCCCCACACUGGUACUGAGACACGGACCAGACUCCUACGGGAGGCAGCAGUGAGGAAUAUUGGUCAAUGGGCGCAAGCCUGAACCAGCCAUCCCGCGUGCAGGAAGACGGCCCUAUGGGUUGUAAACUGCUUUUCCAGGGAGAGAAACUUACGCACGUGUUGCGUGACUGACGGUACCCUGGGAAUAAGCAUCGGCUAACUCCGUGCCAGCAGCCGCGGUAAAUCA